rnacentral:ncRNA from 1 species
AAGGGAAGUCGGCAAAACGGAUCCGUAACUUCAGGAAAAGGAUUAGCUCUAAGGAUUGGGCUCGGGGGUCUCGGCGCCGAACCCGUCGGCUGUCGGCGGAUUGCUCGAGCUGCUCACACGGCUAGAGCGGGUCACCGUAUGCCGUGUGGGGGACGGACCGGGAAUCGCCCCUUCGAGGGCUUUACCCGAGCAUGAAACAGUCGACUCAGAGCUGGUAUAGACAAGGGGAAUCUGUAUGUUUAAUUAAAACAAAGCAUUGCGAUGGUCC